rnacentral:lncRNA from 1 species
GGGUGCUUUUAGCAUGUGCAGAUAUACAUUACAUGCUCCCCACAUGGCAGAGUAGAGUAGAAAACCCCUACUACAGGGCAUGACUGGAGCACAAGGUGAGUGUCCAUGGAGCCUGGGACUGAAGAGAGGUUCAUGGGCCCAAUAUCUUCCUAGCAGCACCUGCUCUCCUCACCUCAUACCUUCCCAGCACACCUCCUGCACAGCAUCUUAACAUUGCUCUGCUUGGGCGGCCUUCAUUCUUCCCUGAAUCUCUUGUCUUUUAUGGGACAGGACAUCUUAAAGCAGCUCUCAACACUGCCCCCUAGAGGUGUUUUCCUGUUUCAGUGCCUUUGCCUCCACAGUCCCCUGUCAGAACUGUCUCCCUCAUUUCUUAGGAGCCAAGGACCAAUUCUGCUCCCUAUCUUCAGAAGACCCAAAGCUCUCCCCUCCCCACAACUCCAUCUUAUUCAACCCUCAGAUGAUAACAGGAGCUAGUUAUAUCCUGGCAUUGUCUUCCACUUUAGAGAGGAAGUCUCUUUCUUCCAGAACCUAGCUUUUUUUUACCUCUGUAUUUUUCACCGCUGGGAACACAAUGCCCUGCUCAUGAAGC